UACGUAGGGUGCGAGCGUUGUCCGGAAUUACUGGGCGUAAAGAGCUCGUAGGUGGUUUGUCGCGUUGUUCGUGAAAACUCACAACUCAAUUGUGGGCGUGCGGGCGAUACGGGCAGACUGGAGUACUGCAGGGGAGACUGGAAUUCCUGGUGUAGCGGUGGAAUGCGCAGAUAUCAGGAGGAACACCGGCGGCGAAGGCGGCCCUCUGGCUCGUUGCUGACGCUGAAACGCGAAAGCGUGGGGAGCAAACAGG
rnacentral:rRNA from 1 species